rnacentral:rRNA from 1 species
UAGGGAAUCUUCCACAAUGGGCGCAAGCCUGAUGGAGCAACACCCGCGUGAGUGAAGAAGGGUUUCGGCUCGUAAAGCUCUGUUGUUAAAGAAGAACACGUAUGAGAGUAACUGUUCAUACGUUGACGGUAUUUAACCAGAAAGUCACGGCUAACUACGUGUCAG